rfam:Trichoderma reesei QM6a unplaced genomic scaffold TRIREscaffold_10, whole genome shotgun sequence.
ACAUACGACCACAGCCGUCAUAGAAAUCAGGAUCCCGUCUGAUCUCCAUUAGAUAAGCUGAUGAGCGCUAGAUUAGUAGCUGAGUCGGUGACGAUCAGCGAAUCCCUGGUGUUGUAUGUU